AUGGGAUUUUUGAAGACAAACAGACAUGUGAGCCAUGAAUUUUCUCCUCCACGUCCUUAUACUGGACAUAACUUUAAACCAAGAAACAAGUUUUGGUUCUGCUGUACCCUUGCUAUGACCACCACCUGGAAUAUUGUUUUGGACCCAUCCACCCAGCCCAAAGAUCCAUCAUAGGAUUCAAGGGCAUCCACGUGGAGUCCACCAGCAAAUCACUGAGUGACAGAGUGGAGGCUGGCAGGUACGUUUAUUGCAUAACAAGCCACUGCAACACUUAAUAGCCUACACAAUAACAAUGC
rnacentral:lncRNA from 1 species